rnacentral:rRNA from 1 species
AGUGGGGAAUCUUAGACAAUGGGGGCAACCCUGAUCUAGCCAUGCCGCGUGAGUGAUGAAGGCCUUAGGGUUGUAAAGCUCUUUCAGCUGGGAAGAUAAUGACGGUACCAGCAGAAGAAGCCCCGGCUAACUCCGUGCCAGCAGCCGCGGUAAUACGGAGGGGGCUAGCGUUGUUCGGAAUUACUGGGCGUAAAGCGCACGUAGGCGGAUCGGACAGUCGGGGGUGAAAUCCCGGGGCUCAACCCCGGAACUGCCUUCGAAACUAUCGGUCUGGAGUUCGAGAGAGGUGAGUGGAAUUCCGAGUGUAGAGGUGAAAUUCGUAGAUAUUCGGAGGAACACCAGUGGCGAAGGCGGCUCACUGGCUCGAUACUGACGCUGAGGUGCGAAAGCGUGGGGAGCAAA